CGGUGGUCAUGGCGAAGGGGAAACGCCCGGUCCCAUUCCGAACCCGGAAGCUAAGCCCUUCAGCGCCGAUGGUACUGCCCUGGGA
rnacentral:rRNA from 1 species